AUAUGGCUUAGUUAGGAGGCAUAUAUUAAAGGAAGCAGUGGAUCAGAGAAGAAGCUUCUCUCUGAUCUUUAAUUUCACCGGUGGCCUUUUUGAGGGGACUCUCUCGUUUUGUUCUGUCAAUUGUCCUCCAAGCAGCCUCCCACAUUG